AGCUACCUGCCUGCUGAUAACGUGGAUUCCUCUCCAUUCAUCAUGUGAAAACUUUAUGGAAGUGGAAGCCCUACAAUGGUUUAAAAUCUCAUCAGAGAGAAAAUUAUUCUUCAAUAUAAAUGAAAGUAAAUGAAAUGUAUGCACUGCUUUGAGUGUUUUACAAAGCUAUGGCCAGCAAGACAACUCCCCUGAGGCAGAAAGGCAUGAGACCUGCUAUGCUUAUUAAGGAGAAAAAGGAAGAAAAUGUGGCAUAAUUGAAGUCUACCAGGUUUUACUCUACUCCGACUGCAGUUCAUCCAUACCACUCAGCUGCUACUCCUGAGCCUUAAUACGUAAAUAAAAACUGAUUAUAAAAGUUCCAUGAGAAGAACAUUUUAGUCAUUGAUAUAUUUCUUUUUGAUCUUACUUUUUUGAGGGCUAAGGAAAAUGUUUCCAAGUUUUUGUAAGUUUCCACAAAACCUAAAGUGCCUACAUUAUUGGCUCCCUCUCUCAAACUCUUAAUCCUCUGAACUCAUGUGUCUUCCUCCUUCAGCAGCCCACUCUCCACCUUCAUGGGAUCUUCCUAAUAUUCCUAGCAA